CAGUAGCCGCGGGAAUACCAGCACCUCGAGUGGUCAGGAGGUUUAUUGGGCCUAAAGCAUCCGUAGCCGGUUGCAUAAGUUUUCGGUUAAAUCUAUGCGCUUAACGUAUAGGCCGCCGAAAAUACUGUGCAGCUAGGGAGUGGGAGAGGUACACGGUACUCGAUAGGAAGGGGUAAAAUCCUUUGAUCUAUUGACGACCACCUGUGGCGAAGGCGGUGUACCAGAACACGUUCGACGGUGAGGGAUGAAAGCUGGGGGAGCAAACCGGAUUAGAUACCCCCGUAGUCCCUGUCUCUUAUAC
rnacentral:rRNA from 1 species